UACGAAGGGGGCUAGCGUUGUUCGGAAUUACUGGGCGUAAAGCGCACGUAGGCGGAUAUUUAAGUCGGGGGUGAAAUCCCGGGGCUCAACCCCGGAACUGCCUUUGAUACUGAAGAUCUUGAGUUCGGGAGAGGUGAGUGGAACUGCGAGUGUAGAGGUGAAAUUCGUAGAUAUUCGCAAGAACACCAGUGGCGAAGGCGGCUCACUGGCCCGAUACUGACGCUGAGGCACGAAAGCGUGGGGAGCAAACAGG
rnacentral:rRNA from 1 species